CCUACGGGAGGCUGCAGUGGGGAAUAUUGGACAAUGGGGGCAACCCUGAUCCAGCCAUGCCGCGUGUGUGAAGAAGGCCCUCGGGUUGUAAAGCACUUUCAGUGAGGAAGAACGCCUGGUGGUUAAUACCCAUCAGGAAAGACAGCACUCACAGAAGAAGCACCGGCUAACUCCGUGCCAGCAGCCGCGGUAAUACGGAGGGUGCGAGCGUUAAUCGGAAUUACUGGGCGUAAAGCGCGCGUAGGUGGCUUGAUAAGCCGGUUGUGAAAGCCCCGGGCUCAACCUGGGAACGGCAUCCGGAACUGUCAAGCUAGAGUGCAGGAGAGGAAGGUAGAAUUCCCGGUGUAGCGGUGAAAUGCGUAGAGAUCGGGAGGAAUACCAGUGGCGAAGGCGGCCUUCUGGACUGACACUGACACUGAGGUGCGAAAGCGUGGGUAGCAAACAGGAUUAGAUACCCUGGUAGUC
rnacentral:rRNA from 1 species